GAGUGGGGAUCUUCUCCUUUCUUUCCAGCACCGAGGGGUCCUUGUCACAGCCAUUUGAAGAUUUAAAUGAUUGAAUGGAACCCAUUUGAACAAUUGAAUCAUAUGAGGAAAACGACGUGAACUGCUCCGUUGUUUUUGUGUAAUACUGUGAUCAUUGUUACGUGACGACCGAUGCUUUCCCACUAAAGGAAUUUAAUAAACGUCUCACAAAUGGAGGUUGCAUGAGAUUUAGAGUAAAAACCAAGUCAAUAGCCACAAAGAACGACAAGUGUUGGCAUCCAGUUGCGAUUGCUCCACCCAGUGACAAGGGUAUCUUCUCGUGGACCUAUUGUGAGUGUGCACUCUUAUAAUUUGUUUGACCGAUGUUUUUAUUUUUGACUGAAAUCUUAUCCUUUA
rnacentral:lncRNA from 1 species